GAUGAACGCUGGCGGCGUGCUUAACACAUGCAAGUCGAACGGUGAACACGGAGCUUGCUCUGUGGGAUCAGUGGCGAACGGGUGAGUAACACGUGAGCAACCUGCCCCUGACUCUGGGAUAAGCGCUGGAAACGGCGUCUAAUACUGGAUAUGUGACGUGACCGCAUGGUCUGCGUUUGGAAAGAUUUUUCGGUUGGGGAUGGGCUCGCGGCCUAUCAGCUUGUUGGUGAGGUAAUGGCUCACCAAGGCGUCGACGGGUAGCCGGCCUGAGGGGGUGACCGGCCACCGGGGGAGUGAGAACCGGCCCAGGCCCCUAGGGGGGGGCGGGGGGGGGAAUUUUGCAAAAGGGGCAAGAGCCUGGUGCAGACACCCCGGGGGGGGGGAGGGCGUCUUGGGGGUGAAAAACUUUUUUUAGGGGGAAAGAGGGAAAGUGGCGGUACCUGGAAAAAAAACCGCGGCAAAACGUG
rnacentral:rRNA from 1 species